UUCCUUACAAUCUACCUUACAAUCUAA
rnacentral:sRNA from 1 species